CAAACUAAAUUUGCCUAAUUGUAGCAUGUAGCAACUCGGUCUCUUAGAAAUUUGUUUCUUCUCUGUUCGUUUUUGAAUACUGCCUCUAGAUUUGGAUAACUUGUUUAUUGAAAAGGAAAAGUAGGACAAGGGAAAUUUUCUUAAAAAUCCUAUGUAUAAAGCUAAAGCCUACAAUGAUUUCCCAUCCCACUUGGAAUAAAAUCCAAGUUUCUUAUCAGCGCAGGGUGUUCCUAUGAGCUGGACGCAGCCCACCCCUCUGACCUCCUCUCAUUGGUCUCCCUUCAUUCACUCCUCUCCAGUCACGUUUGUCUUCUUUCUGUCCCUUCAGAGUGCCAACCUUGUUCUCUCUUUAGGGCCUAGACUUGCAUUUCCCUCUGCCUGGAAAGUUCUUCUGCCAAAUCUUGGCAUGACUGUCCCCUUGUCGUUCAGAUCACAGGUCUGUGUGGUCACAUGGAGGUGUUCCCGACUAGUCUACUUUAUGUGAUUGUGUAACAGGUAUAACCAAUGACAAUUGUCCUAUUAGUUUAUUAAUUUACUGAUUAUUAUCUGUUUCCUUCCCUGACAUGUGAGCUCCAGGAGAGCAGGAAUUACAGCCUGGUUCAUCCGUUGCUCUAUCCCCGGGGCUGGGCCAGUGCCUGGCACAGAGCAAAUGUUCUCUGAAGAAAUGAAGCAAUCUUGGCUCUGCCAGUUGCCACCUGUAUGACCUUGGGAAAGUCACUUUAUUUUCAUUAUGUUAAAUUAGGCUACAAAACUACUUGUUAUGAGGGUGAAAAAUAUGUAUAUAAAAUACCUAGCACAUUGCCAGGUUCAUAGAAUGUGUUUAAUAAUUAGAAUUUUUUUCCUAAAAAGUCUAAAACACUGUAUAUGUGUGUGUAUGUGUGUAAUUAUGAGCACAUGUAGUAAGCACUGAAUAAGUAUAUGUUGACUGAACCAAAUAUUCAUUGCAGAGCCUGAUCUUCAGCCCAGGUUGCCUGAUUCCUGGUUUGGGGCCCAUUACAUCUUUGGUAAUUCCCAUGCCAAGUAUGCCUCAGCGGUGGGUGGGAGGAAGUGGGAUGCAUGGAGAUGGAGUAUUUUGAGAAAUGAAUGUAGGCCAGCUUUCUGGAGACAUUGCUUCCAGACGUGGUUCUGCCUCGAACUAGUCGAAUCACUGGGGAAGCUGUGUUAUGGCUGUUGGCCUCUGUUUUCUGAUCUAUGAAGUAGAGACCAUGAUACCAAUUUUUCCUCAUUCUUGUUAACAGAUUCUACUGUAUUACUCACUUUGCAUCAAGAUAGGAAGAAUGGUUCUCCCUACGUGUUGCAUGUGAUCUAGUCGAGGAGUACUGUGGACAGGUAUUGUCAACAGCAACACAAGACCCUAGCAACGAAGGCGAGGUCAGAGUAGAACGAUCUGAGGGUAGAACUGGGCACUAUUUGCCCAAGAGUGAAGCAUCAUAACUUAGGCCAGAAAAUUGGAAUUCAUGUCUAGAUUCUGCUACUUAGUAGCUGUGUGGCCCUGGACAAGUUGUAUAACCCCUCUGAACCAAAUUUUUCAGCUGUGUAUAAGGGAGAUAUAUCACCUCCCUCACAGGAUCCUGCUGAUCGUUCCUUUGUGAAGUGUAAAGGACUACCUGAAAAGCUCUGACCCUGCUUUUAUUGGCCGUAUAGCCUACUUGGUAUAGAAACAUUCCAAGCAAUAGACUGUGUGCUUCCUAAAAUACGGAAAACUCCUCAAAGGCAGAAUCUACAAUAUUUAAUUUUUCUGGAUUUCGUUUCAUCUUCCAUAUGGUAUCUGGUUAGAUGACUCAGUUAGCGUAAUUGUGGAUUCGUCCUCAGCUAGUCUCCAAAUGAAUAUUUUCCACAUUUCUGCCAAAGUCCCAAUUCAAAUUGUUUUGUUUGUUUGUUUGCUGAGAGCAGCUGGUUUGUAUAUAAAGGUGGGGAUCAAUGGAUUCUGGGCAGUUUUCAACACUGGAUCUUGAGGGAAACAUUAAUUUCCAGAAUUAGCCACAACAAAUGGGUGCUUAUUAGAUGAGAAGGCUGAAGGUCUGAACCCCUGCAAUCUUGCAGGGUUUUCAGAGAGGGGUUUUUGACCAUGGAUCUAGAGUAACUCUCUCCCAGUCACCCUCUAUGACAUCAUCCUGCUCCUUUCCUUUACAGAAUUUGUAACUAUUUAAAAUGACCUUAUUUGUUUACUUGUCUAUUUCUCUUACAUUCUAUUGGAAUGUGAGGUUGAUGGAAUACGACCUUUAUUCAUUUCCCUAUCUCAAUAACCUAGAAUAAUUCCUGACACAUGGAGGCGAUCAAGAAAUAUUUUUAAUUAAUUAAUAACUAAGUGAAUGCAGCCAUUGAACUAGAAACUGAAAACAAUUCAAUUGUCCAGUUCUUCUUUUAUUCCAAGGAUGACUUCCUCUAGAUGCAAGAGCAGACGCAGUUGAGGAUUCCAUGUUCAUCUGGCUGAGUGGAGUCAACCAGCAUGUUAGAGGUAUAACAUCCGUGAGUCUCACUCAUACACAGAGAAAUCUGGCCAGAAGAGCAAUCCCAAUGACUCAAGAUAGUCUCCCAAUCCUGAAAACGUGAAAAAGAUUUAGCCUAUGUCCUCAUUUGGGAUGUGGUCAGUUAUAGCAACCUUAAUUUGCUGGCUUUCUUUUCAGAAGAGCAUAUCCCGUCUAUAGUGUAAUGGGUUCGGAAGGCGAGUUACCUCUGUUUCCUCUUUGAGGACAAACUGCAUGAAGCUUGCUACGUUCUCUGCCACUGGGGUUAGAAGGGCCAUGAGCUGGGAUAUGCAGUGAUUAAACACUGUCAAGAUGAGGGCCCCUGAGGCAAGGAUCGCCGCCUUCACUCUCCCCCAGAGCCUACGGGGCGUGUAAACCUUGAGACCAACCAAGUAUUUCCUGAAGAUUUGUGCUGUGUUCAGUGCUAAGUUAAUUUUCAGCUUGCAGUCACUUAUGGUGGUAACUUCCAUAUUCAUGCAAAAUUCUUCUUUGACUAGGAUUAUUCAGGGUAACAUUUAAAGACUCUCUCUGAAUCCUUACUGUGUGAGAAUGGCUGAUCUGAAUAAUUUUGUGCAGAGGUGUUGAUUAUGGACUGAAGGUUUAUAUUUUUGUGUUAAUUUCAGGUAAGCCCUCUCUCUCAUUUAUUUGACAUUAACGUAACUGGAUAAUUUUGAAAUUCUGGUGGUUGUAUUUUUAAAUCCACAAAACAAAGUUCCAGUGCAAGUAGGUAUUUUUCACCAGCCAAAAGAUUUGAGUAUGUUGUAAAUAUUACAAAAAGGGCAAUAUUCUAGUCUAGCUACACGCCUACAGAUUUAUUUUUUGUGAACCCUAGAUCUAAGCUUUGUAUGGUGCACUCGCAGUAUCCACCUUGUCUAUCACCUCAGGCCGUAUUCAGUAUUUCCUCACUUAAAAUCCAUAAAGGUUUGGAUGAUCACAUCUCUACACGCAGUGGUCCUUUGGGCAUCCCUUUGAUUCUUUUGAAUUAGGAGAUGUUAGAAGUGGAAAAGACCAGUGAUACAUAUAAACCAGCAGUGUCCGAAUUCUUUUUUGUGGACCAACUGUGUCCAAGUCAAGACACCUGGGGACCUUUAAAGCCAUACAGAUCCUAGGACUCCAACCCCCAUAAAUUCUCCUUCAUUAGAAGGAUUGGGGUCUGGUCCUGGAAUCUAUAUUUUAAAAAAUGUGAUGCUCAGUUGAAUUUGGAAACAGAUGGCCUCUAGUAUAACACCCUGAUUUUGUAGAAGUAAACUGAGAUCCACAAAGGACAGAGGAAACAUACAUGGACACACAGCUGGAAAAUGACCCAGCAUGUAUAUCCUCAGUCUCCUUCAUCCUGAUUUCAUCACCAUGCUCUAAUUAUGAUGACAAUAUAACAAUCAAUGAUAACUCUGCCUACAACCACUACUCAACAUCUAUGCCUAUUGUGUACCUCCUUAGUACUGACCCUGAUGCCUCAUUUGCUUUGAUCCUCCUAAGAACACUUAUGAGAUAUGCCUUAUCUGCUUCCUAGGAUAACCAGGCCUCACAGUACCUGCUCAUAUAACCAAGCUCCUUUAAUGGUGUUUCUAUGUAUUUCCUGAUGACACGGUGAAUGACUGAGUCAGGACACUGUUAAUACUUUCCACUGGGAAACUGACCCUGGAAGGUUACAAUGCCCAUGAUUAGGAAUCAGAAGAUUACAGACAUAAAUGGCACAGAAGAAGGCAUUUUUAAAAGAGCUAAAUCUAAUGUUGUUCAUAAGUCUUCUACCGUGUUCUGAGGUUGCCAGAAUUGAUCAUUGCUACUUUAUUUUAAUCAGGAGCUGAAACUUUCUUGGUUACUGUCAAGUGGGAAAAUUCUCAGUGCUAAAAUAAUUUCCAGGUCCAAUCAAAACAAGCUUCCCCUCAAAAAACUGUCGAAAAUCUCAACAUGCAAUAGAUGUGUUAUGGACUUAUAAAAAUGGAGCCUGAUACUCCCCAGAGUCCUUUCCUGAUGAGGCUUCUGGAGGCACAGGAUUCCCUGAGAUGGAUUUUCCCAGAGGGAAUCUGGAGAAAGGUUUCAAGACAGAUUUUCCUUUGUGAGUGAAUGCCCUGGCAGAGGUGGGGGAGUGAACAGGCAGAUCCACCCAGGAUUUCAGAGCUCUGGGCGUUAGGCUACCUUAUCUCAGCUGGGCUGACUUCUCGCCAACAUCCUCAGUGCCAACCGCUCCUGUAGGUAAAACAAGACUGGCCACUCAGAGUUUAACAUCCUCGAGCUACUGUGAUAAGUUCAAGAAAGGCCACAAGAUCUGAGCUGGACCAAAUAGGGCAAAUGGGAUCCCAUCUUGGAAUCUGUUGGAGCUAUCAGGGGAAAAACAUUUUUUUUUUCUUUUGUAGUAUUCAAGAAGAUGGGACAUAAGCUUAGAGCUCCUGACGUCUUGUCACCAGGAAGGGAGAAGUUAACUAAGAGCUCAGCCACUCUAGAGGAAAGCAGAGAAAUUGAUGCAAGGGUCCUAAUGACAUUGUUUGAGCUCCUGGAUACAACCGUGUUUGAAGUCUCGUAUAUCCAUGAACUUUGCAGUUGUGUGAACCAAUCUAUUUCUUUUUGGCUCUUGCUCAAGUCAAUUGUUCGCAGACAUUUCUGUGCAUCAAAUCACCUGAGGAGCUUGUUAAAAUGUAGAUUUCUAUGCCCCACCUUCAGGUGGAUCUAUGGUGGGAACCAAAACCUUGCAUUUCAAAUAAUUUUCUAGGAGAUGCUGUGGCUGCUGGUCCAGGGGCCAUACUUUGAGAACCAUUGGCUUAGGAGCCUUUUUUGGUUUCUGCUGCUGAUAACCCAAACUGUCUUGAUUGACAUCAGAAGAUCUUUUCUAAAUGGAAAAAGAAUCCGAUGCGUAGAAGAAUUAAUAGAAUGAGAUAAAAUAAUGUGUUUGGGAACUAGUCAAUAAGCACUUGAAAAAGGACAUGGCCAUCCCUCAUGACUGCUUUGGACCAAACCAACAUUUUGUAAGGUGGUUUUCCACUGUCCAUAUGGCUAAAGGCAAGGCCGUUCGAGUUUAUGACAAAUGAGCAAAAACAGCAGGACUAAUACAUGUUUUGUCGAAGACUUAAAACCCGUGCAUUGAGAAAAUGCACAUUUUUCGCUCUGAUCCAGUCUGUCAACAAAAUGCUUUUCAUGAGAAACAUCAAAGCCAUUUCAUCUGCAAGUUUCAUUUUUUUGAAUCCCUUAAUCUACACUGUUGACAAAAAUUUCUGUCAAGUGCCUCAAACCAUUGUAUUAACAAAUUUUAUUUUGUCAGUCAUGAUUUAGCCCCCUUGCAAAGACGGUUUGUAAUAUUCCGCUCCAUCCUGCAGGAGGAAUACUUAACUGUUAAUGCCUCAAUCUUAAUAUUGAAAGCAACUGAAGAGAGAAAGUAAAAGUGGUGUGCUCAUUUAGCACAUCUGUUGGAUGUCCAUGUGCAUUUGAAAUAAAUCCAGUUCAUCUGAAGUUUUCCCUGGGUAAUGCAAGCCACAGUGAGGGUCAGGAUAUUGCAGUUGGUGAACUUACACAGUACUGUUCAUGUUUUCCAGUUUAGUUUCUUAUCUGCUAAUCACAGGCUUUCUGUUCUUACCUAUGCGACUUCUCCCUGUGGCUACGCCUGGUGGCUUUUGUGAAAGCAUCACCAUUCACGAUUUUCCCUAAUUGCAAAUGCAGGAGGAUGCCGUGUACCUUCCAGUGUCUUCAGAUUCCAGUGUGUCUUCAGUUCAAUUAUCAUGCCAUUAAAAUAAGGGAUGGUCACUGCUGUUUUCUAGAGAUGCUGUAAGAGCAUUUGGCUAUUUCUGCUCAAAAAGAAGCAAUGGUGGAUAAGCUUAAGCUUGAGAUGUCUGUUUUCUGCAUAGCUUAUCCCUGAAUUAUUGGUGAUGGCAAGAUGAGAAGGCUGGAUUUCCUGAUAGUCUCUGACAUGUUAAAUUGCUAAGUCUUCUUAGGAACUUCAAAACAAGACAGUCAUAAAUUGAUGUCACCAAUUCUAAUUAUGGUGGAUACCCCUGCGGAGAAUUUGCAGAUGCCAAUGUAUCUUGUAGGGAAUUGGACAUCUUGUACUGUAGACAAGAAUGAAGGAUGUGCUGGGUUAAAUAUUGAGCAAUCUGAAUGUGAGUCCUGACUCUACCUCAUAAUAGCUAUUUGACCUUGAGCAAGUCACUGGAUGUCUCUGGGCUUGAAUAUCUCCUCACCUGCACAAUGGGGCUGAUGUAACUACUUGCCUUGUAGACCUUCUGAGCUCCUGGGAAGAUCAAAAGAGGUGAAUUUAUAAGUCCAAAUUUAGGGUGAUUGUACAAUGCUAGGUAAAUAUAAGCUCGCAUUGGAAGCUGUUUCAGACAUGCUUCUUUCAUUUUAGCUAGCUUCGAGGAGGCAAUACAUUCCUCUCUGUGGUAUAAACCAGUGGCAGAGUGGUGAUGUAAUUUGAUGACUUGCCUCGAAUCUCUCCUGUUUUGACCGUCCAUAUAGUCUUAAAACCCACUUUCAGGUGGUGUCUAGAGUGUGGCAUGCAAAGGAGAAGGGACUACAUAUAAAGUGUGUUGGCAAAGGUUGAUGUGCAUGUGUUUACCGUACUGCUUUCUCGUAUGGGCACCACUGGGAACAGGGAUGUAUGGAUCUGACGUAGGAGCAGUUGAGACCUGGAGCCCAGAAGCUUCCCUUGAAGAGAAGGUGGCAGAUGGCACCAGGAAGGUGGACUAGAAGACUCCCCUGGGUAUCUCGGGCAGCCUUAGAUUCUUCAUCAGCGAAAGGAGCAUCAGGUACCCGCUUAUCUCAUAGAUGUGACAACAUGGGUGAAAUGGCGUUCGUGAAUGGAAGAACAGGUUGGUGUCAAAGUUAGCAGUGGGCGUUGGGGCAGAGAAGGACCUUGUGUGCAAUUUGCGUGGGGUCCUGCGUCCACUCUGAGAGUCCACAUGUAAGGAUCAAUGUUAUGGUCCAUGUGUUUGCUUAUCAUUCAGCUCUCUGGGGUAGAAGAAAUCCCAAGGGCAGGUGGGGACUACAGGUGGUCAGUGGG
ensembl:lncRNA